UUCUUUUUAUCUCCUUUGCUUUGUUCGGAAUAUCGGAAUUAAUACAGUUGAGAAAAGUUGUCAGUUUGUGCUUCAUAGUAUAGAUUUCUGAUGUGACACCUAACCACCUCUCUAAAUCUCAGCGAUAACAAAGACACAGACGUUACUCUUCUUUCCUUCCAUACAACCUACUGUUCUUCAAGACCAACUGGCGUUUACGUAAUACCUACAAGGAAAAUACCAAAACGACAACAACGUUUAACUUUUGGCUGCAAAAAUUUACCUCACGUAUGGAAUAUUGCAAAGAGAGUAACAAGUGAUUUCUUCUGAAUUGCGGUUUGGCAACCGAUAUAGAAAUCUUGACAGCAAAUAUGUAAAGACAGGAACGACUACUCUAAGGAUAAGACCAUCAACAAAAGCAGGAACAGCUACAACAACAACAACAACAACAACAACAACAGCAGCAGCAGCAAUAAGACAACGCCGAAGCCGGUAGUGACGGUGACGAAUCCAAUAACGACGAUGACUGAACAAAUGAAUGAUUCAGAAGCCAUGCCGGCAACGAAAGGACUCAAAAGACCCGCACUUGCUGCUUUGAUUCCUGGAACUAAGUAUGAUCCGAAGACAUUUGAAGUGUCUGCAGCUUCUGAUCCAGAAGCACCGACUGUUGUCUUCAAUAUUCGUGGAACUAUCUUCGAAACGUAUCGUUCAAAUUUAUACCGGAAAAAUCUGAGCAAUUUGUCCAACGAAGAGUUUCUCACUCAAUUCUACCGAGUGACACCAAACGAUUACUUCUUUGACCGCGAUCCUUCACUUUUUUCAUCAGUGUUGGAAUAUCAACGAACCGGUGUGUUACAUAUUCCAGUGAAUGUCUGUGGUAAAGUGGCACGGCAAGAGCUGGAGUUUUGGGGAAUCGACGAAAGCCGUAUCGAAAAAUGCUGUUGGAGCACUUUUGACUCCUGGAAUAGCACUUACGACGCAUUAAAACAACUGGAAGAAGCCCAGACCAGAACAUUUAACCAAUAUACAGAGAAAAAAAUUGCUGAAAUGAAAUUUGGAAGAUUCAGAGCAGCGAUUUGGAAUUUUCUUUCUAACCCUAGGUCUUCACACGGAGCGAAAAUUUAUUCCACGAUAACAAUUACGUUUAUUAUCCUCUCCGUAAUAUCUUUCAUCGUAGUUACUCAUCCUUGCUGCCGAGUAAAAGGCGAUCGUGAUUUUUUUGGAAUAUUACACUUAAACAAAACGAGUGAGCGGGAAUUUACCUCUAUGCCUCAUCCUGCAUUUAUCUUAAUUGAUUUAAUUUGUCUCAUAUUCUUCACAUGUGAUUUGAUAAUCAAAUACUUCAGUUACCCAAACAGGAGGCGUUUCCUUUUUAAUGCAUUAAAUCUUGUGGACAUUGCCUCGCUCGUACCUGAUUAUGUCGCUAUUUUUAUCAGCACUACGCUGGAGGCAACAAAGGCCAAUGAAGUAAUGCACUACGUGAAUGUUUUAGCAUUAUUUCGUUCGCUCAGGAUUUUCCGAUUGGUGCGUUACGUCCCAGGAUUGUGGAUUUUGCUCUACACAUUCAAAGCCAGUAUCUGGGAUUUGUUGUUGAUGAACGGCUUCAUGAUGGUCGGUAUGAUUGUAUUUGCAACUUUAAUUUAUCAUGCAGAAGAUGAUAAUUUCACCAAUAUUCCUAUUGGUCUGUGGUGGGCACUGGUCACUAUGACUACAGUUGGUUAUGGAGAUAUGUUCCCAUCAAAUUUCUUUGGCUAUAUAAUUGGUUCCGUUUGUGCCAUCACCGGUGUGUUAAUGGUUGCUUUCACUGUUCCCAUUAUUGUCAAUAAUUUCCUCAUGUAUUACACGUAUUACACACACAUUCAAUCCAAACAAGAAUUAGAGAGACGUAUGGCAAGAAUUCAUAAAAGAGAUGACAACAUUGAGAAAAACGAAAAUGUCGACGUUGAGAAAAACGAAGAUGUCGACGUUGAGAAAAACGAAGAUGUCGACGUUGAGAGAAACGAAGAUGACAACGUUGAGAAAAUAGAGAAGGAUGAUAAAUGAAAAAAUGGAUGGGAAAACGAAAGAAGCAAGAUGAGAGAGUAGUCACCGAUUCUUCGAGAGAUACAAGUACAGUUACAAGGUGUUACAUAUGAGAAAGAAGAAUGGUACAACUCAAAGCGAACCUCUACUGUCCCUAUCUUCGGAUGCAUCAUUUCGUGAACCCAAGAAGCUUCAGGGAUGUUUGUGAAGGCCGAUUCAGAACAAAAGAAGCAGACGUCGACGAUGCGCCAUACUUUCUGUCUGCUAUGUUCCAAGAUGUAUCGGACGCUAUGCUUUAUUUCGAUUGAAUCUAUAUUCGAGUACAAAAGACUCUUUUCGGUGGUUAUUUAUCAAUAACGAACUACGAAACUGUACGAAUGACUUUUGAAAAAAAAAAAAAAGAGAAAAUAUGGCUUUUUUUUUGUAACAAUAAGUUAUAUUCUGAUAUUUAUUUUCGAUUGGGUAAUUUUUGAAACAAGGCACAGGAAAUACGAAGGAAAAUAAAAAAUGUAAAAACGAAACGAGCAAUAAAAUAAAACUCUGUCUACUGAGGAGAA
rnacentral:misc_RNA from 1 species